rnacentral:rRNA from 2 species
UUUAUGCCUCCUAAAGAGCCGUUGAAGACUACGACGUUGAUAGGUUGGAUGUGGAAGCAUAGCGAUAUGUGAAGCUGACCAAUACUAAUUGCUCGUGAGGCUUGACUAUACAACACCCAAACAGUUG